rnacentral:rRNA from 1 species
GACGAACGCUGGCGGCGUGCUUAACACAUGCAAGUCGAACGGAAAGGCCCCCACCUUGGUGGGGGUGCUCGAGUGGCGAACGGGUGAGUAACACGUGGGUGAUCUGCCCUGUACUUCGGGAUAAGCUUGGGAAACUGGGUCUAAUACCGGAUAGGACCAUGGUUUAGUGUCUCAUGGUGGAAAAAUUAUUGUUUUGGUGCAGGAUGAGCUCGCGGCCUAUCAGCUUGUUGGUGGGGUAAUGGCCUACCAAGGCGUCGACGGGUAGCCGGCCUGAGAGGGUGGACGGCCACAUUGGGACUGAGAUACGGCCCAGACUCCUACGGGAGGCAGCAGUGGGGAAUAUUGCACAAUGGGCGCAAGCCUGAUGCAGCGACGCCGCGUGGGGGAUGACGGCCUUCGGGUUGUAAACUCCUUUCGUUAGGGACGAAGCCACACCUUUUUUGGGUGUGGAGACGUACCUUGUAAGAAGC